rnacentral:rRNA from 1 species
AUUGAACGCUGGCGGCAGGCUUAACACAUGCAAGUCGAGCGGAGUGAUGGUGCUUGCACUAUCACUUAGCGGCGGACGGGUGAGUAAUGCUUAGGAAUCUGCCUAUUAGUGGGGGACAACAUCUCGAAAGGGAUGCUAAUACCGCAUACGUCCUACGGGAGAAAGCAGGGGAUCACUUGUGACCUUGCGCUAAUAGAUGAGCCUAAGUCGGAUUAGCUAGUUGGUGGGGUAAAGGCCUACCAAGGCGACGAUCUGUAGCGGGUCUGAGAGGCUGAUCCGCCACACUGGGACUGGGACACGGCACAGACUCCUACGGGAGGCAGCAGUGGGGAAUAUUGGACAAUGGGGGGAACCCUGAUCCAGCCAUGCCGCGUGUGUGAAGAAGGCCUUAUGGUUGUAAAGCACUUUAAGCGAGGAGGAGGCUCUUUUGGUUAAUACCCAAGAUGAGUGGACGUUACUCGCAGAAUAAGCACCGGCUAACUCUGUGCCAGCAGCCGCCGUAA